CGUGUAGGCGGUGUGUUAAGUUGGACGUGAAAUCUCUCGGCCUAACUGGGAGCGGCCGUUCAAUACUGGCACACUUGAGGGUAGGAGAGGGAGGUGGAAUUCCCGGUGUAGCGGUGGAAUGCGUAGAUAUCGGGAGGAACACCCGUGGCGAAAGCGGCCUCCUGGUCUACUCCUGACGCUGAUACGCGAAAGCGUAGGGGAGCAAACG
rnacentral:rRNA from 1 species